CUCCUCUCAGGGUUGUACCUGGAGAGUUUCCAGUCCUCUACCAGUCACGACUACAGGAGGGAGAGUCGAGCAGAGGCCUGUCCAUUCCAUUCCUAGCUUGGCCAGUGGCUAGCCAGUGGAAGGCGAUCUGCUCCAAGU
rfam:Ornithorhynchus anatinus chromosome 6, whole genome shotgun sequence.